rnacentral:rRNA from 1 species
ACGGUGAAGCUUGGAGCUUGCUUCGAGUGGAUCAGUGGCGAACGGGUGAGUAACACGUGAGCAACCUGCCCCAGACUCUGGAAUAAGCGCUGGAAACGGCGUCUAAUACUGGAUAUGUGACGGACCUGCAUGGGUGCCGUCUGGAAAGUUUUUCGGUUUGGGAUGGGCUCGCGGCCUAUCAGCUUGUUGGUGAGGUAAUGGCUCACCAAGGCGACGACGGGUAGCCGGCCUGAGAGGGCGACCGGCCACACUGGGACUGAGACACGGCCCAGACUCCUACGGGAGGCAGCAGUGGGGAAUAUUGCACAAUGGGCGAAAGCCUGAUGCAGCGACGCCGCGUGAGGGAUGACGGCCUUCGGGUUGUAAACCUCUUUCAGCAGGGAAGAAGCGAAAGUGACGGUACCUGCAGAAGAAGCACCGGCUAACUACGUGCCAGCAGCCGCGGUAAUACGUAGGGUGCGAGCGUUGUCCGGAAUUAUUGGGCGUAAAGAGCUUGUAGGCGGUUUGUCGCGUCUGCUGUGAAAAUCCGGGGCUCAACCCCGGACUUGCAGUGGGUACGGGCAGACUAGAGUGUGGUAGGGGAGACUGGAAUUCCUGGUGUAGCGGUGAAAUGCGCAGAUAUCAGGAGGAACACCGAUGGCGAAAGGCAGGUCUCUGGGCCACUACUGACGCUGAGAAGCGAAAGCAUGGGGAGCGAACAGGAUUAGAUACCCUGGUAGUCCAUGCCGUAAACGUUGGGCGCUAGGUGUGGGACUCAUUC